rnacentral:rRNA from 1 species
UACAGAGGUCCCGAGCGUUGUUCGGAUUCAUUGGGCGUAAAGGGUGCGCAGGCGGCGGGGUAAGUCUGAUGUGAAAAUCCCCGGGGGCUCAACUCCGGAACUGCAUUGGAUACUGCUCUGCUAGAGUACUGGAGAGGAAACUGGAAUUUACGGUGUAGCAGUGAAAUGCGUAGAGAUCGUAAGGAAGACCAGUGGACGAAGGCGAGUUUCUGGACAGUUACUGACGC